GACGAACGCUGGCGGCGUGCUUAACACAUGCAAGUCGAACGGAAAGGCCCUGCUUUUGUGGGGUGCUCGAGUGGCGAACGGGUGAGUAACACGUGAGUAACCUGCCCUUGACUUUGGGAUAACUUCAGGAAACUGGGGCUCAUACCGGAUAGGAGCUCCUGCUGCAUGGUGGGGGUUGGAAAGUUACGGCGGUUGGGGAUGGACUCGAGGCUUAUCAGCUUGUUGGGGGGGUAGUGGCGUAACAAGGUUUUGACGGGUAGCCGGCCUUGGAGGGUGACCGGCCACAUGGGGCCUACGAGAGGGACCAGUAUCGUACGGGACGCAACAGUGGGGAACAUUGCGGAAUGGGCGGAAGCCAGAGACAGCAGCGCCGCGUUCGUGAUGACGGCCUUCGAGUGGUAAACCGCUUUCGACGGUGACGAAGCGUGAGUGACGGUAAUGGGUAAAAAAGCACCGGCUAACUACGUG
rnacentral:rRNA from 1 species